UUCAAUAAAUGUCAAAGUAUUUAUACUCUUAGGCUUAGACACUCACAGAGGUGAGUCUGGAGAAGUUAUCUGUCUUCUUCCUGCAAAAUUUAGUUAACUCAUAACUGACUUUAGACUUCUGUAUACUCAUCCAGUUACCAUAUUUUCAGGACAACUUUUCCAGACCUCCCUGGCUGGGUCGAUUCUCCUACAGCACACAUUUAUAGUAUCAGGAAUAAUCUCACUUUUGAAAUUUUUCACAUAGAAUGCAUCGCAUACACACAACAGAUUGCAUUAGCAUAUAUUUAUAAUAUAAAAAGUUAUAUUCGAGGAGGGGACUCAAGAUGGCGCUGUGAGAACAACCCAGGAUUGGAGCCCGCAUUGAAUUCGCAAACGGUGAGUCAGUGCUGCAUUUCCAGACUGAUCUUUGUUGCCCACAGAACAGGGAAACUCCCAAGUAUAAAAAGACAUGGGACGCCAGGCAGUAGGUCUGCCUGGCAAAGCCGGCAGCCGGGGCUGCGGCGGCCGGCCCUACCCAGCAAUCCCCACAGGGCGCGCUUGUCCGGGUGCCUUGUUGAACUGGCAACCUGAGACUUGAGAGGGCUGGACUUGAGACUGAACGAGACUUGCACAAUAGCCCAGCCCAGGGGAUUAUAGGGACAGAUCGUUUGGGAUACCCAGUGGGACGAACAAAACCGCGAUUUCAAACUAUCCCGGGCAGACGGUCCGAGAAGCUCUGUGGGGGAGGGGCGUCCACCACGACGGAGGCAACCCACUCCAACUGAGAUACACGCCCACUGCUGAGGCAGCCAGCCGUUGCCGAGGCAACCCGCCCCAACUGAGAUACACGCCCACUGCUGACGCAGCCAGCCGUUGCCGAGGCAACCCGUCCCUACUGAGAUACACGCCCACUGCUGACGCAGCCUGCCAUUGCUGAAGCAACACGCUACAACGAAGAGACUCCGCCACAGGGUGUGGCGGAGACCACAGCAGAGCCGGCAGGAACAGCGCCAAUCACACAACAGCAGGGCGGAGCCUCGGCAGCCAAACAGUGGCUAGUCUGCCUUUGAGCUGGGCAGGACACCUGAUCGGACAUCCAAAAAUAAAGCCCAAACCCCUCAACA
rnacentral:lncRNA from 13 species